AUUGAACGCUGGCGGCAGGCCUAACACAUGCAAGUCGAACGGUAACAGGAAGCAGCUUGCUGCUUCGCUGACGAGUGGCGGACGGGUGAGUAAUGUCUGGGAAACUGCCUGAUGGAGGGGGAUAACUACUGGAAACGGUAGCUAAUACCGCAUAAUGUCGCAAGACCAAAGAGGGGGACCUUCGGGCCUCUUGCCAUCGGAUGUGCCCAGAUGGGAUUAGCUUGUUGGUGAGGUAACGGCCCACCAAGGCAAUGAUGGGUAGCCGGCCUGAGAGGGUGAACGGCCACAAGGGGACUGAGACACGGCCCUU
rnacentral:rRNA from 1 species